AGCUUCAUGCAUGUACUGUCCGUUGCGUGGAUGAUUGAAGUUUUGCUUGAACAGCUUCCUUAUUGAAUUUCCCAUAUAUAUUUGAUUACGGAAACGGUGAAUCUUUGCCCCCUUUUUUUAGUUUAUGUUUCCUUGGUUAGCAUAACGUUACGAACAUCCGGUGCUUAGCAUAUGUCUCUGAUAGUCUCUGAUCUCACAAUACGACUCAGACAAGAAACGAAAAUUUGCAGUAAUCAUAAAUAUUUGGAUUUGUUUUCGUGAUAUGUUUCGUGCUGCAGCGAGUGCGUUACAAAAGUAUUUUGUUAACCAGUACAGGUUGGUUGAAAUGGCACUUGAUGGAAAACAUCACAACACAAGCGAUUCCGAGCGAGUCAAUAGUGCCGCUGAGCAGCCUUGCUUUUUUCAUACUUUGCCCGUUGAACUCGUAGCACGUGUGCUCUCCUUCUUGGACAUUUUUGAGAUUUCCAAUGGUACAACUGUGUGCAAGCGAUGGGAGACCAUAAGCCGGUUGCCAUCCAUCCAACGAAACGUCGUCAUUGAUUUGUUAAAAUGGGAAAAAUAUGGCUGCAGCGGCCCGGACGAUUAUCCAGUCCCGAAAUAUGUCGUGCGAGCUCGCCGAAAAAUUAAGCCACUGGUUACCAGAUUCGUUACACGGGCCACGCGCGCCCUGAUUCUCCGUUGGCCACUGGACAUAUGUGCACCCAAUGCAGAGCUCCUUAUAAAAACGUCGUAUGAUCGUGGGGAAUACAGCUCAUUUCCAAUUGAGCCCUGCUAUUAUGAAUACUAUUACCACCCUUUUAAUGCGCUUCGCAUAAUUGGAGAAAUUGCCGAAAUGCUCCAUAGCAUUCAUCGCGACCCGGAAGGGAAUGCUAAUGGAUUGAAGAAUCUUACGCUAGUGCUGCAGAAUUUGAAGUUAUACAUCAACGCCCUGUCGAACAAGAUGCCAAAUUUUCGUAAUGCAGUUACUUUUGAAAAUACCCCAUAUACUGUCACUUCAAACCAUGGGAAGAAAUUUUCGAUCCAUGGGGAAAUACCAGGCCAGUUCCAAUCGUUCUCUGUACGAAUGUGGCCAAGGAGACCAUCACCAGAGAGGAAAUGUGGCUUUUCGACCAGAGUUUGCAGCUAUUCGGGAGAUUGAUAACAACACCAUUGACACCGGAGGAUGAAAGAAUUAUGCAGCGAGUGUUAUGGUCAUCAACGAAGCUUGGUUCUUACGCGGGCUAUUGGAUCAGGUACUUCGGCUUGCCGGGCAGUGCAGAUGCCUGGAAGGAUAAGAGUCUCGUGGAAAGCGGACUAACACUGGACAAAAUCCGUAGCUUUCCUCGCUGGUUGCAGUAUUUCACCCGUAACCUUCUGCAGCAUUAUCCAGAUGAGAGUACCGAAGAUGGCACAGUAAUGCGGCGGACGGAUGACAAUGCAGUAGUGGUACAGAGGGUGUUGGGUCCAUUCAUCCACGUUUGGGCGUCAGCACACGGCGUAUAGCGCCAAAGCGGGGCCGGAUCCAAUUGGACCAAUCUGCUAGCAGCCCAUCCCAGGUUAGCUAUUUGGAUAACCGAUCCUCCAGUUGGUUGGACAAUCCAGUUGGACCCUUUCACCACGGUCCAUUCCUGAUUCCAUACACUUAAUUUGACAACUUCCACAAGGGUGAGCGACGGCCAGCCUGGAUGGCUGCGACGACCAGGCUGGAUGGCUGCAGCAGACUCUGGUCCUUCGGGGGCCAGCAAAGCUCCGUUAGUUCUUCGAGCGACUAGACAUUGCGCUGCUUGGCAGGAUGUUUUGCUGCGCCAAGUAUGAGCAAUCAGAGGCGCAGAGGGUGCCUCGGAGGAACGGAAGAUCUCGCAACGUGGACGCGUGCCCACGCCAUGGUGGAAUACUCGCAGACCCCCGAGACCAAGUAAUUUGCCCUGCAGACACGCAAAAUCGCAGAUCCUCAAGAACGUCAUCAAUACUAGGUAGAAGACGCUGCCAUGGCCAAGUGUGAAGAUACUGCCGCUGGAGGCGGACAUCCGCGUUGCGUGUCGGCAAGCGCACGGACGACGAGUAGAAGUUCAUCCAGAACCUGGCGCUUUUCCUGGCCACCUGCAGCAAGGAGCACAGCAAGCUGAUCGAGAAGACGGCGGAGCUGCGGCCGCAGCUGCUGGAGACGCUGCGCUACGUGCUGCUCAUCUUGCUAGUGGAUGAGAUCGAGAUCUUCAAGAUCUGCCUGGAGUUCUGGGACACAAUGGCCUCGGAGCUGUAUCCAAAGCAUCGUUUCUGCGCCUACCCCACAGGCACCACCUUCCCGUUCUCGCUGAUGAAAAGUGGCGGCCUGGAAUCUCGGGCGCAGCACACCCCGCCGCUAGUUCUACGACACGAUGCUCUUGGAGGGCAGAUGCAUGAUAAUGGCGCGGAUAGCCAAGCCGAAGGUGGUGCUCGUGGUUGAAAACGAGCAGGGUGGGGUCGUCAGGGAGUUGAUGAUGGACACCGACUCCAUCAAUUUGUGCAAACUCAUGCGCGAAACGCUCGUGUACGAGCAUUUUACGCAUCAGGACCCCGUGGACAGUGGACACUGGACACGUGGUGGAGAAGGUCGAGAAGCUACACCUGCAGGCUGCAGAUGAACGGUGCGGAGUGGUCGUGGAAGAAUUAUUUUUUCGGUUAUUUUGCAUUUUCUUGUUGCAGUUUACUAUUUUAUUGUAUAAUUGCGGAUGCAAUUAUGUGUCCUGUUACCUAUUAAUAUUUCGCUGAUGUUACCAUUAUUUGCUGAUGUUACCGCUGAUGUGUUGUUGAUUUCGCUGAUGUUUUGCUGAUGUUAUUCUGCUUUUCAUGGGUUCCAUUGUUAUGCGUUACUGAAUACUGGUUAAGGAUGUUCGAUGCACUGCUGCGGCGCUGCCUAAAUGUUCGAAAAGUUGCUAACAAUACCUAG